CCAAUACAAGAAAUGUCCCUUCAGUAGAGUUUAUUUAAUCAUUUUCUAGGCAAGGCCACAAAAAUAAGUACAGAAUUUUUUCCUUUGGACAUCAUGGUUUUGACCUUAAUAAAUUUGAAAGCAUUGAGAUCAUACAAAGUAUGUUCUCUAACUACAGUGAAGUAAAAUUAGAAAUCAAUAACAGGAGGAAAUUUGAGAAAUUCACAGGUAGGUGGAGUUUAAAUAAUACACUCCUAAGAAACCAAAGGGUCAGGAAGGAAAAAUAAGAAACAUUAGGAAGGACGUUGAAAUGAAUGAAGCACAUAAUACAGUUUGUAUCUGGACCAAGGAUGAGUCCUUUCUGUAGAUGGACCCAGUCACUUUAAAGUUGAAGCAACUCUGCGAUGGCUGUGGAUUUCUCAGAUCCUGGGGGGAGAUUGUGAAUUUGUGAGGAUGGUCAACAGCUCUGGAGACAAAUAACAAAGGAGAGGAUGUGUCUGGCCUGGCAGGGGCGGGGUGGAUUACUCGAGCAAAGUGACGUUGUGUAUUUCAACCAGCCCUGAGUUUUGGAGCUAGACCUGUACUCUAAGACUGCUUGGUUGGUUUUCUUCACUUUUUUUUGUUUGUCUGUUUGUUUUUUUCACCCUUUCAGGCUCCUUGAACAACAAAGUCUUGUCUCAUCCCAAAGGGACACAGUGCUCCUGCUGAGAAACCCUGCUCUAGGGGACAAUCUCAAGCACCCAGAAGGCUACAAAACUCAGCGCUCUCCUUGCCCUGGGCCUGGCUCAGUCUUCUGGAUUUGGUUUCAGACUUGGCCAACAUCCCUCUACUAUCUUCCCAGCUGGUGUUCAAGAAUAGCCCCUCUCCACUGGAUUCAGGAUCCCACACUAAACCACAGCUUCCCAUCUGGGGACUUCCCUGUUCAGCUUCCUCAGGUAUGUGGUCUACUUCUCGCCUAUUCCCAUUCUCCUGCAGAAGUCCUGCAAUGUGUGAAAGGGCUGCUG
rnacentral:lncRNA from 9 species